rnacentral:tRNA from 1 species
AGCUUUAUAGUCAAUAAUGAUAUAAAAUUGCAAAUUUUAAGGGGUAAAUCAAUACUAAGGCUU